GAGCCGGUAACAGAGCAGAACUAAGCUCUACAGAGUUUUGGGGCCCAUGGAAAGUGAGAACCACAGUCCCCGUCAGAGGAAUAACUCUUCUGGGCACCCAGAGAGCACCCAGAUACUGCCUAGGAACUUCAGUGUGGAAGAAAAAUGUGGAAGACCUUGCAGGUUCUACCUGUAAUGCAAGUAUUCAACUUGAGCCUUUGGGAGCUUUGUCUCAGGGGACAAAAAUCACUUCCCUUCAAAGCACAGGAUUUUGUAAUUUUUCUUUCUUCAAGAAAGGGUCAUAAACUCUCUUCAAUAUGUGGCAGCAGCAGGAAAGCAACUGGCUGUUGGUAUGGAACACCUGGGUGCAGUAUCACCAGGAUGUUCCAGGGGUUCUUUCAGAAAUGUUGAGGUGAGAGGAUUUUUGGUGAUGCAGAAGCACCUGGUCAGAAGCAUGAGCAACCUGGGAUUUCAUCAUGAUAUAGUUCUGAUGUAGGUGAGACAUGGUUGCAAAGGGAAAUAGCUGACUAAAGGCUCCAAAGACCUCUACAAAUCUGCCCUAAACCAUUCUGAGUAUUUUCCUUCAGGUUCACUUUGAGGUGGAAAAAGGCUCUUGUCCAUAGUCCGGCUCCUAUGUGGGAGGAAAGAACUCAGCCCAGCUACUGAACUUCCAUGCUGAUAUUUCUCUGUCUUAAUUCAUUGUUUUGUAAGGAAAAUAUCUUCUCCACCUCUCUUUUACUGUGAGAAGAGCCAGAGGAGAUCCCUGCAAGGUCUACUGAAGGAGGAGGCAAAAGGGAUACAUGGACAAUCCCUGUACUCUGCACUCACUGCAUUUCUUCUGGCCUGACUGAAUGAAGCACAGCAGGAGGAUGGGAAGCUUCAUGUGGCUACUUAAAUAUCUAAUAAAAAAGACAAUGAUGUUAUCUGAAAAUAAUGAAACUGAUACUGCUGGGAUAUAUUGCAUAAUAUAGUCUAACACCUUUCAUUCACAGUGUUUUAUAUUUGUAAAAUGCCCAUUGCCAGUUGGCUCCUGGGCUGCAGACU